CUUUUUCAGUGUUGAACACAUAGAAAAUAUUGGGAUACACUACUAUAAAACACUCAGAUGUUGGCGAAAAAAUUUCUUGGAGCAUCAGAGCCUGAUAUUGACUCUUUGAAGGCUGCAAUCAGCUCUGUUGUUGACGUGAUGCAGGCGAUGGUUUCCUCUGUCUGUUCUGUGCUAUCAAAGGACAAUCUUUCUGGUGGGAACCUGGCUGCUGUUAAGAGUUUGCAACAAAUGUUUCCAGAACCAGUACUUUCAUAAUUGCAAUGUUCCGAAUUAUGACCAAGAACAAACUGAUGAAGUCAGAGCUCAAUAGAUGCGUCAUGUUCUUCUCGUGUGCAUUUUGUGGUGGAUCAAUUAUGUUUUUCGAUUGGAAAUUGUCUACAAUUUUCUAAUUUUAGUGUUUUGAUUUGAAAUUGAAAGAAGUACUAUAUGACAUAGACUUCUUUCUUUUUUCUAUUUUUUUCUUUCUAGUGUGUUGCCAACAUUGCAUAUGACUUUAAAUUAUGAGAAGUCGAGACGUUUAUUUGAAAUGAUAGAAAUAAAAUUGGAUGGUAUAUUCAAUUAUGUUUUUUUAUUUUAUUUUUUAUUUGUAGGGAGAAACAUAUGUACAUUCAUCUUUGAUAUUACAGACUCUAGAACGGUUGUUUUUAUUUUUUUA